rnacentral:rRNA from 1 species
GACGAACGCUGGCGGCGUGCUUAACACAUGCAAGUCGAACGGAAAGGCCCUGCUUUUGUGGGGUGCUCGAGUGGCGAACGGGUGAGUAACACGUGAGUAACCUGCCCUUGACUUUGGGAUAACUUCAGGAAACUGGGGCUAAUACCGGAUAGGAGCUCCUGCUGCAUGGGGGGGGUUGGAAAGUUUCGGCGGUUGGGGAUGGACUCGCGGCUUAUCAGCUUGUUGGUGGGGUAGUGGCUUACCAAGGCUUUGACGGGUAGCCGGCCUGAGAGGGUGACCGGCCACAUAGGGACUGAGAUACGGCCCAGAAUCCUACGGGAGGCAGCAGUGGGGAAUAUUGCACAAUGGGCGGAAGCCUGAUGCAGAAACGCCGCGUGCGGGAUGACGGCCUUCGGGUUGUAAACCGCUUUCGCCUGUGACGAAGCGUGAGUGACGGUAAUGGGUAAAGAAGCACCGGCUAACUACGUG